rnacentral:pre_miRNA from 1 species
GUAACUCAUAUUUGUAUGCAGUUGGAACAGCGCCCCUAGCGGCAAACGUUCCAACUCCAUACAAAUACGAGUUA